GGUGGGAUGAACUCAGCGCCCCCUGCACACCCGGUGUCCACCUGUCGUGCAGCUGAGUCAGAACCAUCCAGAUAGAUGAGGGAAGAGAAAGAAACCCCAGCACCCCACGUUGUGAAACCAGCACCCAGAUUUCUGUCUGUAAAAACCCUGCUGAUCUCCCCGGGCAGGAUGCAGAGCCAUGGUUGCCAGGCGCUGGGCAAAGGCGGAAGUGAGCAGUCGAUGCUCACCCGGGACCCCGGGUUUCCUUGUGGGGUGAUGAGAGCAUUCUAAAAUUACUGUGCUGGUGACUCACGACCCGAGCGCGCACUGAAUGCAGCUGAAGUGUGAGUCGUACAGCAUGUGAACUCUGUCGUUCUGUUGGCUUGGUUUGGGCUUUUGGUUUGGGCAUUCUGACUAAGCAGCCCCCAGGCUGGUCUCGAACCCUCCGGUGCUGGAACGCAGACAUCACAGGUGCGCUUGGGGCUGCAAGAACCGAUGUAUGAAGCUGGAAAUGUUAUGUCUCUGAGAUUAGCAAUCAGUGGUUUCAGUGGAGUUUUCAAUAGGAGAGGUCCCUGAUUUGAGGAUGUAACUGCAGAAGACAAUCGUGACAGUUCAGAGGAGUGGAAAGGAACGCUGGCCUUGGAGGAAGUGGUCAAUGGUGCUGAACAGGAAGUGUUGUAGAGUUCAAAAGAUUAGGGGCCUAAGAGGAGACAGUUCCAGGAACUGACUUGGUGAAGAACCCCUGGCCACUAAGACAGAGCUUUCUUUUAAGCGCCCCACACGGUUUUGCAUCGUUGGUCACCUUGGAAAGAGCUUCUGUUUUCCCCAGUGCCGCCUUUGUUCCACAUUUGGAGCCCAGAACGGGGAAGUGGAAUGAUAUGGAACAUGGAAAUGCAAGUCUAUCACCAGGGCCGUACGAGUCAUUUGGAACAAAAGCAUUUUUAUUUGCCUAGUGCUCAGAAAGUCACGCCAAGAGAUCCAGGGAGGAACUUUGGGUCUCUCUUCCUCCAAAUCACUUCCUCACUCUUAUUCUCUCUCAGGUGGCCAAGACAUGGCAGUCUUGACUGCUAACAAAAUGCCAUUGUGACAUCUCAAUGGCAUGAUUCACGGCGUCUCGGAUGGUUUUUAUUGGGUACUUUCCACAUAUUUCAGGGUACAGCCUUGGCGUCUAUCAGCUGAUUGACUUGGCACAGGAACUCCAUGGGGUGGGAUUUACUGUCCACAGUUAAGGGACUGUGUGUGGCUCACACACAGUCAGCAAUGCCGUAGAGCAGCUCUUGAUUUUAACUGACCCAACUUACACGAUUUGGUAAUUUUAGACUUUGUCCUGAGCCUUGGAAAAUAAGUUCAGUUUUUGUCUCUGGAGUUAGGAAGAAGGCGAAGAGCUAAUAUAAACCCAAGGCAGAUGGACGAAAACUCUUUAGGAUUGUGUGGGUGACUGGGAGCUCUCUGGCUUCUCUGAAGUAUCUGUCUACUGACUGGGGUUUUAGUUGAGGGUUCCUGCUAGAAAACACCAUGAUCGAAAUCAACUUGGGGAGGCUUACACUUCCAUAUCACAGCUCAUCACCAUAGACCAUCAGGGCAGGAACUCAACGCAGGAACCUGGAGGCAGGAGCUGAAACAGAGGCCACGCAGGAGUGAUGCUCACCGGCUUCCUCCUCCAGGCUUGCUCAGCCUGCUUUCUUAUACAGCUUAGGACCAUCUGCCCAGGGCUUGCACCACCUGUACUGGGCUGAGCCUGCCCACAUCUGCCAUUAAUCAAGAAAAAUGCUCUACAGCUAUUUUCUUAAUCGAGUGUUCCUCUUCCCAAAUAGCUUGUGUCAGGUUAGCAUGAAACUAAUCAAGACAGUAGGUGAGGCUAAUCACAUCCCAGAGGUCUCACCUCUCAUCAUUGCUACAAUGGCAAUUAGAUUUCAACGUGAAUUUGCGCAGGGGGGGGGGAAGACAUCAAACCAUAGGAUAACUGAAUGUAUGCUUAGGUACCUGGCUGAAUAUUUCCUCCAAAUAAUCUUGUCUGUCCAUAGGGAUAAACAAGUAUGGUCACUCCAAAGGGACCAGAUCCCCAUUUCGGCAGCCAUAACAGCCUAACACGUGCUUGCCUGACCUUGUCUUGGUUACUAGGAGGUCAGAUACCCACCUCGUGGCAAGGAACCAAUCAGAAGUUAGCUGGUGGUGCUAUGCUUUACAGCUCUGGGUGUGCUUUACAGACAAGUGCACAGCAAUGACAUGCAGAGCAUAGCAACCACCCUGGGAGGGACCAUAACAACCAGUUGACCAAUCAACACAGGGCAAGCCUGGAGGCACACCAAUCCUGAGCCUGUGUGUACCCCUAGAUAAUCCCCUUACGCUGCCCUACAAGAUCUCUGUCCUGUGGUUUCUCGGGGUCUUUCCCCAGCCAUCCACCCUGGUGGAAGGAUGAAAGGCCUGAGCUAAUGGGGUUAGCUCAUUAAACAACUGCAAUAAAAGACUCAUUGCUUUUGCA
rnacentral:lncRNA from 1 species